rnacentral:rRNA from 1 species
UACGAAGGGGGCUAGCGUUGCUCGGAAUCACUGGGCGUAAAGGGUGCGUAGGCGGGUCUUUAAGUCAGGGGUGAAAUCCUGGAGCUCAACUCCAGAACUGCCUUUGAUACUGAGAUCUUGAGUUCGGGAGAGGUGAGUGGAACUGCGAGUGUAGAGGUGAAAUUCGUAGAUAUUCGCAAGAACACCAGUGGCGAAGGCGGCUCACUGGCCCGAGUACUGACGCUGAG